rnacentral:ncRNA from 1 species
AGAAAUGCAUAGAACAGGACAGGUCACAGAAGGAACCGGAUUACAGAGAGUCGCAGGCAGGUGAGAUGCGGCAGAUGGUGUUUUGUGAUAUCACCCGGGAGCAUCCCGCUGAAAUCUAUAGUAAGCAGGGACGUGGUCUUCACGUUACAGAAGAAGCUGUUUGGCUCAGACAGUGUUAAGAGAUUGUAUCUGGUGACAGGUAUAAUAAUACAAAGUGGUACCACGGAAUAUUCCGCCUUUGUU